rnacentral:rRNA from 1 species
GAUGAACGCUAGCGGCAGGCCUAACACAUGCAAGUCGAGGGGUAGAAGGAGCUUGCUCCUUUGAGACCGGCGCACGGGUGCGUAACGCGUAUGCAAUCUACCUUGUACAGGGGAAUAGCCCAGAGAAAUUUGGAUUAAUGCCCCAUAGUAUAUAACCUUCGCAUGUUGGUUAUAUUAAAGUUCCAACGGUACAAGAUGAGCAUGCGUCCCAUUAGUUAGUUGGUAAGGUAACGGCUUACCAAGACGAUGAUGGGUAGGGGUCCUGAGAGGGAGAUCCCCCACACUGGUACUGAGACACGGACCAGACUCCUACGGGAGGCAGCAGUGAGGAAUAUUGGUCAAUGGUCGCAAGACUGAACCAGCCAUGCCGCGUGCAGGAAGCCGGUCCUAUGGAUUGUAAACUGCUUUUAUACAGGAAGAAACCCUCCCACGUGUGGGAGCUUGACGGUACUGUAGGAAUAAGGAUCGGCUAACUCCGUG